rnacentral:rRNA from 1 species
GCAAGUCGAACGAGAUCUUCGGGUCUAGUGGCGCACGGGUGCGUAACGCGUGGGAAUCUGCCCUUUGGUUCGGAAUAACAGUUGGAAACGACAGCUAAUACCGGAUGAUGACGAAAGUCCAAAGAUUUAUCGCCAGAGGAUGAGCCCGCGUAGGAUUAGCUAGUUGGUGUGGUAAAGGCGCACCAAGGCGACGAUCCUUAGCUGGUCUGAGAGGAUGAUCAGCCACACUGGGACUGAGACACGGCCCAGACUCCUACGGGAGGCAGCAGUGGGGAAUAUUGGACAAUGGGCGAAAGCCUGAUCCAGCAAUGCCGCGUGAGUGAUGAAGGCCUUAGGGUUGUAAAGCUCUUUUACCCGGGAUGAUAAUGACAGUACCGGGAGAAUAAGCUCCGGCUAACUCCGUGCCAGCAGCCGCGGUAAUACGGAGGGAGCUAGCGUUGUUCGGAAUUACUGGGCGUAAAGCGCACGUAGGCGGCUUUGUAAGUUAGAGGUGAAAGCCUGGAGCUCAACUCCAGAACUGCCUUUAAGACUGCAUCGCUUGAAUCCAGGAGAGGUGAGUGGAAUUCCGAGUGUAGAGGUGAAAUUCGUAGAUAUUCGGAAGAACACCAGUGGCGAAGGCGGCUCACUGG